CGUCCUUCAUCAAACUGGGUCUUAUAUUGAGGGAGGCCAAUGUCAUCCAACCAUCUAGUGACCCAGUUGAAAUCCAGCUUCCCAUGAUUGGUUUCUUCUUCAGAUCCCAGGGCUUGGAGUGCUAGCUGGAGUUUCUUUCGAUGAAGUGAAUGCUUGAUUCCAAGUUCCUUCUCUAGAUCUUGUUGAGAAGCCUGCAAAAGCGUUUGGCCAGAUGCAAUCCAG
rnacentral:lncRNA from 1 species